GUCAAUGAUGUUGUUGUUGGUGGAGGAGAGAGAGAGGCGGGGGGCGGCGGCGAGGGAGAACGAGCGAACUGAAUGUAUAUAUGAUGUAGGUGAAACUCGUCUUGCCUGCUAGCUUUACUCCUUUUUGUGGCACCCUAAAGGCGCAGAGGAUCCUACGGCGGCGAAGGGAGGGGACGUUCACCGACCGUCGGCAGCGACCGCAUCCGAUAGGAAGAGACCUAAGUUCCGCCGAAACUCACGGUAAACCCCACAGUCAGGAGUUAGGACUUUAAAUCUGCCUGCCAAUCCUUUUGUUCUCCAGCUCAUGGCUGAUUCAGAAGACCCUCUUUAACAGAAGCUUAUGAGGGCAGAAGUCCAGGUUCAGCCUUCAUGAAUUCAUCCCACCAGUCCAUAUUGGAAGUGAAGAGCAGCCUUCCAUCGGGCAUGCAGAGCCCAGUCGAAGCAACAAAUGAGAAGAGAGGAGGUGGUGGGGAAGCUGACGGUGGUCCUGGAGAAGGCCCAGGUUGCGGCGGAGGCCCAGUGGACCUGAGAACAGAGCCCAGUGUGGGGUCUCUGUCUGGUGGUGGAGUAGUGGAUACAGCCCUUAGAGAGCAACAGCUUCAGCAGGAACUUGUUCUACUCAAACAGCACCAGGAACUCCAGAAACAGCUGCUGUUUGCUGAGUUUCAGAAAAAACAUGAAGUGCUAACAAGACAACAUGAGGUCCAGUUGCAAGAGCACUUAAAGCAACAACAGGAGCUGCUGGCCGCAAAGCGGCAGCAGGAGUUGGAGCACAAAAGGAAACUGGAGCAACAAAGACAUGAAGAACAGGAAAAACAGAGACUGGAGCAACAACUGUUGCUGCUGAGGAACAAAGAAAAAGGCAAAGAGAGUGCCAUUGCCAGCACAGAGGUGAAGCUGAAGCUGCAAGAAUUUCUUCUCAGUAAGAAAGAGCCUGGUCCAGUAGGACUCAACCAUUCCUUCUCCCCAAAGUGCUGGGGAGGCCAGCACCCCUCCCUGGAGCAGAGUUCUCCCCCUCAGAGUAACAUCCCUGGAACCCCUCGCUCCUAUAAACUCCCCCCUCUGCUCGGCAACUAUGAGGGCAAAGAUGAUUUCCCCCUCCGCAAAACAGUCUCAGAGCCAAACCUGAAGGUGCGCUCUAGGCUCAAGCAAAAAGUGGUGGAGAGGCGCAGCUCCCCGCUCCUGCGCAGGAAGGAUGGAACUGUCAUCAGCACCUUCAAGAGAAGGGCCAUUGAGAUAUCAGUUUCAUCCCUCUGUAACAGUGCUCCAGGUUCAGGUCCCAGCAGUCCUAAUAGUUCCAAUACGGCCAUCGCCAAUGGAAACACAGGAUCAGUCCCCAACAUACAGACUGAGCUGAGAUCUCUCCAUCAGACACUGGGUGGCGAUGGAACAUUGAGUCCUCUUAGUCUCUACACCUCACCCUCCUUGCCCAAUAUCUCUCUAGGACUCCCUGCCAACACACACAUCACAGCACCACAGAACCUGUCCACCCAGCAAGAGACAGAGCGUCAGGCUAUCCAAUCCUUACGAGGGGGCGGAGCUCUAACAGGAAAGUUUCUCUCCACUUCUUCCCUUUCAGCAGGUGCUGCACAUGAAGUGGAGACUUCCACUCCAACCUCUCAUUCAGCUCAUUCCUCGUUGUUGCAACAUGUCCUCCUGCUAGAGCAGGCCAGACAACAGACUGCUUUGCUAGAGAGAGGCGUAACCACCGGAAAGCGGCCAGUCAACAAGCUGCCCCGCCAUAGACCGUUGGCUCGCACACAAAGCGCACCUUUACCACAGUCACCCCAGGCCCUGCAACAGCUGGUGGUCCAACAGCAGCACCAGCACUUUCUUGAGAAACACUACAAGAUGUUAUCGAAGGGCGGAGACCUCCCUAGACCGCCACCCACUCACCCUGAGGAGACAGAGGAGGAGCUAACAGAGACCAAUGACAUGCAGGAAGAUGAAGGGGCGGGUCCUAACAGAUUGCAGAAGGAGGGAUCACAUGACAGCAGCCAUUUAUCUGAGCAAAUGGGCGUGAAUAUAAAGAGGGAGGAGGAGCCCAGGAUUAUGCAUGUCAAAGGCGAGAGCACAGAGAGUGAGCUGGAUGAAGACGAGGAGGAUGAUGAUGUCCUUCAGCUAAGGGAGGGCGAGGAAGAGGAAAGGGGCAGCUAUAUGCAGCAGUCCUUGCAGCAGCUGAGUGUGUUUUCGUCCUCCCUGGCCCACAGACCUCUGGGAAGAGCCAAGUCGUCCCCUGCGACUGCUGUCAGUCCUAUCAAACACCUCUUCACCACCGGGUUGGUAUAUGAUAGCCUAAUGCUGAAACAUCAGUGUGUGUGUGGCAAUGCUCACAUUCACCCCGAGCAUGCUGGAAGGGUCCAAAGCAUCUGGUCCAGACUGCAAGAGACUGGCUUACUGAACCGCUGUGAGAGGAUUCGUGGGCGAAAAGCAUCUCUAGAUGAGAUCCAGUCAGUCCAUUCAGAGUUCCACACCCUGCUGUAUGGAACUAGCCCACUCAAUCGACACAAACUGGACCACAAGAAGCUUCUGGGUCCUAUCAGCCAGAACAUGUAUGCUGUUCUUCCCUGUGGAGGAAUAGGGGUGGACAGUGACACUGUGUGGAAUGAGGUGCACUCGUCAGCAGCGGUUCGCAUGGCAGUAGGCUCAGUUAUUGAGCUGGCUUUUAAAGUGGCCGCAGGGGAGCUGAAGAAUGGCUUUGCAGUUGUGCGUCCACCUGGUCACCAUGCUGAGGAAUCCACAGCCAUGGGGUUUUGUUUCUUCAACUCAGUAGCCAUCACGGCCAAGCUGUUGCAACAGAAGCUUGGAGUGGGAAAUAUUCUCAUUGUGGAUUGGGACAUUCACCAUGGCAAUGGCACCCAGCAGGCCUUCUACAAUGAUCCCAACGUGCUUUACAUAUCUCUGCAUCGGUACGAUGAUGGAAAUUUCUUUCCUGGUAGUGGAGCACCAGAGGAGGUGGGCUCAGGUGCAGGAGUUGGCUUUAAUGUAAAUAUAGCAUGGACUGGAGGAGUGGACCCUCCUAUGGGUGAUGUGGAGUACCUCACUGCCUUCAGGCGUGUGGUAAUGCCCAUAGCCCAGCAGUUCAGUCCAGAUGUGGUCCUGGUGUCUGCAGGCUUUGAUGCAGUGGAAGGUCAUCAGUCGCCUCUGGGUGGCUACAAUGUCUCUGCACAAUGUUUUGGGAAACUAACUCAGCUACUGAUGGAACUGGCAGGUGGGCGGGUUGUAAUGUCGCUCGAGGGUGGCCAUGACCUCACUGCUAUCUGUGAUGCAUCAGAGGCCUGCGUUUAUGCACUCUUGGGAGAUUUGUGUGACUCUGGGUUUCAGUGGCCUCAGGAUAAGCCAUGUCCAAAGGCUUGCACCUCCCUGGAGAGAGUAAUUGAAAUCCAGAGUAAGCACUGGCCUUGUCUCCAGAGCUCGUCUCAAAGCAGCGGUCACUCCGCGGAGGUUCCAGGCCAGUCUGAGAGAGAUGAGGCCGAAACGGUCAGUGCCAUGGCCUCGUUGAGUGUUGAUGUGGAACAGCCAGGCUCACUUCUUGAAAACACAGAAUCCAGCAGGUCUACAGAGGAGCCAAUGGAGGAAGAACCUAUAUUGUAAAGAAGAGCUCAGACCUAAAGCACAAAAAAAACUUCACCUCCUUCUAGCACCUCCAUAUCCUUCUUCUCCUGCUCCUCCACAAAGUGUGUAUGUACACAAACACACACACACACACACAAACACACCCAUACGCAGUGUGGAACUGAAUCAUUGUCGAGGACUUGGAUUGGCUGAGAACAUCUAAACGAGGCAGGCGAAAAAAGUCCUGUACAAAACAUGGACACAUCUGUUUUGUUGUGGUUCAUCUGUCAAAGGGGGCGCAUAAGACUUGUUGGCAUCUCUGAGGAAACCAAAGACGAGGAGGGUCAGCAAGGUUGCAUCUUCUGUACUCUACCAGUACGCGACAUCACUGAACUUUGUUUAAUCGUUCUUCUUUUAUAUUUCCUACUUAUUUCUCUUGUUUCCACGGAGGCACUUUUACUGUGGAAAUAAAAACCUUUUAUUUGGUUGAAAUGUCAGACAACAAGCUGACGUCUGGUCUUCUUGUGUCUGUCCUCGAAAAAAAAUAGUCACUUGUUUGAGGAGUAACCCGUUUUAAAAAGAUCGGGGAGCAAGAACUACUGGUGCCUUUUUUCUGUCUGACAACACAAAUUAUUCAAUCAGAAUCGACACGUCACUGCCAGUGCACCUCACCGAACCAAACAGCCUAGGAGGACUGAAAAACCGGUCAGAUAACGGACACAUGGCCACACAUACACUGCUGUUGUUUCAGCCACUCAGUGUAUAUUUAUUUCUUCAUCUGAAUGCCUUAGUUUUUCUUCUUUUUUUGACAAAGAUGGGUAGAGGGAAUCAGGAAAGCUCAUAAGCCGUAAUCUUUCCAGGUAUUCCCAAAAGACUUAUCUGAUGUUCCCUGAGAGUUUUCAGUACAAGUGGAAAUGUUUGUUAAACAGCUCAUUUGAUUGUUCGUAGGAAGUUGAUGUAAUAUAAUGAUUCUGAGGAAACAAUCUCAAGAUCAACUUACCUUUUAUAAAAAUACACAUUAUUCUGCUGUGCAUUGAUUUCACUUGUUUCUAUUAAAAGUCAUGUGAUGUGAGCCCCACACUUUGUUUCUUCUAAAGAGAAUUUUGGACAGCGGUGCUUUUUUAAAAUACCACAAUGACCCCCCUUGAUUUGUUUUAUGUUUAUUUUUCUAUUAUGUGUCAUAUAUCCUUUUUUUGUGUAAAUACUGUCUACCAUCCAAUUACGCAUGGCAACAUCAAAGCAUACGUAGUGUGGUCUGUUUUUACUAUAUCUGUACAUACGUGUAUGUAUAAACUACAGAAUACUUUCUCUUUUUGUAUGAAAAGCAAAAAAUAAUGUGUAAACAGUGUUUUAUCCAAUCAGAUUAGAUUUAUGGAUACAUUCUUUUUGAAGAUCUGAUGUUUUAAACGUUUGGCCAUUUGACAGGAAGUUAGUGCACGGCUUGAUAGUGGCCACUGUCACCGCAGCGUGCUUGUUUGUUUGUUUACAGAUGCCAAUGGAUGAUAAGAUGUUGUAUCUUUUGGAGGAAAAUGUUGUGCUCGGGUUCCUCUGACACGACCGCUGCUCUGUACUGCUCUCCUCAGGCAAUCAGCAACAACUAUACACAGGUGUUCAAAUCAAAGAGUUUUUGGAGCAACGGAGCUCUGCUUGCAGGCUGGUUUGGCUGCUAAGCUAACCAGGCGGUUAGACAGGGAAUUCCCCUCUAACCGCUGCCUGAUCUCGGCCCGGCACUCUGGAAUUUCCUGCUACCUGUUAUGUUUGUGGCGGCUGAAAGUGAAUAUAAAGCUUUUGGUAGGUAUGUGUUGGUCACCGGAGAUUUCUGACAUUUCAAGUUAUUGUUGGCAUUAAUUUUAAACUGUUUCGCCACAGUUGUGUAAGACAAAUGUUUUAAUUUAAUGCUGAUGAUCAGAGUACUUUAAAUUCUCUAUGUACAUGAAAUAUACACAUUUCCCUUUAAAUGUAAACCUAACUCAGUGGAGUGUAAUGUUUUUAUUUUUUCAUAGUUCUAUGUAGAUGGCUCUGCAGGAGGAGAGACCAAUUUCAAGUUUGGAUGCAGUUUCCCAGUGUUCCUCUUUACCGCUGUGCCUACACAUCUACUACUUUAUAUAAAUAUUUACUCAAGGCAUCAAUUCCCUGUAAUUCUGGACUGAUUCUAAUUUUUUUUAUUCUAAUAAAUACAAUUUUUACUAAAACAUGUUGAUAAAAAAUGAAAUGUAAAAUAAUAAUUUAAACCUUUCCUGCUUAUGUAUCCAGUGCAACUGAAGGAAUAAUGGAAGGAAUUAAUUGACUGUAACUUUAAAGCUGCUCAUUAUCUUUCAACAGUUCCAACAAAAAUGAUUUAUUACCUUUUAAAGUGAGUAAAGGAGUAAUGCCAUCUGCUGGACUGAAGAUGUAUUGUAUUGCAAUUUUCCUCACAACUUCCCCAUACGUCACUAGGCUGAUUUAAAUAAAUGGUCCUUGGCUAUGAAAAAAGAAAGAACAAGAUUCCCUGGGAUUUCUAUUACCAAGCUAAAACAAAUCCUGGGGCUUUCGGUGGAAAAGGGGCUAAUAUUUCAAAUCAGACAUUUUCUAAAACUUUGCCUACACCUUGUGGUUGUUAAUUAAAUUCGAAAAUACUUUAUUAAUCCCAAAGGGAAAUUAAAUGUUGUUGUAGCUCAUUAUGAAGGUUUCUUCAAAGAGCCGUUGUAUAUGCUGAUGGCUGUGGACAGGAAGGAUCUCCUGUAGCGCUCC